GAUGAACGCUAGCGACAGGCCUAACACAUGCAAGUCGAGGGGCAGCACGAAGUAAGCUUGCUUACUUUGGUGGCGACCGGCGCACGGGUGCGUAACAGGUGUGCAAUCUGUCCAUAAUCGGGGAAUAGCCCAGCGAAAGUUGGAUUAAUGCUCCAUGUGAGUUUUAGAGGCAUCUCUUUAAUUUGAAACGCAAGGAUUAUGGUGAGCACGCUUCUGAUUAGGUAGUUGGUGAGGUAACGGCUCACCAAGCCGACGAUCAGUAGGGGUUCUGAGAGGAAGGUCCCCACAUUGGAACUGAGACACGGUCCAAACUCCUACGGGAGGGCAGCAGUGAGGAAUAUUGGUCAAUGGGCGGAAAGACCUGAACCAAGCCAAGUCGCGUGAAGGGAAUGAAGGUU
rnacentral:rRNA from 1 species